CAGUCGCCACGGUAAUACGUAGGUGGCAAGCGUUGUCCGGAAUUAUUGGGCGUAAAGGGCUCGCAGGCGGUUUCUUAAGUCUGAUGUGAAAGCCCCCGGCUCAACCGGGGAGGUCAUUGGAAACUGGGAAACUUGAGUGCAGAAGAGGAGAGUGGAAUUCCACGUGUAGCGGUGAAAUGCGUAGAGAUGUGGAGGAACACCAGUGGCGAAGGCGACUCUCUGGUCUGUAACUGACGCUGAGGAGCGAAAGCGUGGGGAGCGAACAGGAUUAGAUACCCGCGUAGUCCCUGUCUCUUAUACA
rnacentral:rRNA from 1 species